rnacentral:rRNA from 1 species
GUGAACGCUAGUGGCGUGCUUAACACAUGCAAGUCGAACGGAUGAUAUUUGUGCUUGCACAAAUAAAGUUAGUGGCAAACGGGUGAGUAAUACAUGGGAAUUUUCCUUGUAGUAUGGAAUAACUAUUGGAAACAAUAGCUAAUACUGUAUAUUGCCGAGAGGUGAAAGAUUUAUCGCUACAAGAUAAGCCCAUGCAAGAUUAGCUAGUUGGUAAGGUAAUGGCUUACCAAGGCAACGAUCUUUAGCUGGUUUGAGAGAAUGAUCAGCCACACUGGAACUUAGACACGGUCCAGACUCCUACGGGAGGCAGCAGUGGGGAAUAUUGGACAAUGGGCGAAAGCCUGAUCCAGCGACGUCACGUGAAUGAUGAAGACCUUAGGGUUGUAAAAUUCUUUUAGUGGAGAAGAUAAUGACGGUAUCCACAGAAAAAGUCCCGGCUAACUUCGU